GAUGAACGCUGGCGGCGUGCCUAAUACAUGCAAGUCGAGCGAACAGACGAGGAGCUUGCUCCUCUGACGUUAGCGGCGGACGGGUGAGUAACACGUGGAUAACCUACCUAUAAGACUGGGAUAACUUCGGGAAACCGGAGCUAAUACCGGAUAAUAUAUUGAACCGCAUGGUUCAUUAGUGAAAGACGGUUUUGCUGUCACUUCUAGAUGGUUCCGCGCCGCAUUAGCUAGUUGGUAAGGUAACGGCUUACCAAGGCGAGGAUGCGUAGCCGACCUGAGAGGGUGAUCGGCCACACUAGAACUGAGACACGGUCCAGACUCCUACGGGAGGCAGCAGUAGGGAAUCUUCCGCAAUGGGCGAAAGCCUGACGGAGCAACGCCGCGUGAGUGAUGGAGGUCUUCGGAUCGUAAAACUCUGUUAUUAGGGAAGAACAAAUGUGUAAGUAACUAUGCACGUCUUGACGGUACCUAGUCAGAAAGCCACGGCUAACUACGUG
rnacentral:rRNA from 1 species